UGGAGACAGAGCAAGACUCCAUCACAGAAAAGAAAAAAGGAUUCCAGUAGUAAGACUGAAGCAUUACUCAAUAAAACAAUAUUUUCUAAUCACAAAACUCUAUACCAAACACUGAGUUCAGGAUGAGGGAAUACAAGGAUAACCAAGACCUUUAUCUGUGCUGCCAAUCACUCAGAAGCUAGUGAGGAAGGUAGGUAGUCACAUAAACAAAUAUCUGGAAUAGGUUCUAAUGACUAGAUUUAUAAUAGGGGUAGUUACUUAGGACCAUGGAAACAUAAAUAAGCAAGUGAUUAAUUGUGGAUAUUUGGGAAUCAGAACUACAGAGAGAAGACUUAUUUGUGUAAAACCUCUAAAUGGUAAUAAGAUGCUUGCAAGACAUAGAAGGUGAAGAAGCUCAUUUUAAUAAACAGAAAGUAAUUGGCAAAGCCACGGAGACUUACUGGGGAUCAUAAUUUGGGGAAAGAACAGGUUUAGAGAGUUUAUGAAAAGAUCGGUGGGUGGAGAUAAGAAUGAGGCUGAAUUGCAUGCUUUCCAAGGAGUUUAGUCCACAUAUAUUCUGUAGCCAGUGAGAAGACAUGGGAUGCAAUUAGGAAAAAGGAACAGGAGUGAAACUGCAUUGUAUAAAGAUAAAUUUAGUGGCAAUGAAGACAUUAGAUCUUCAAGGAAAGCCUGAGAUUCAGAAUGACUUCUUAGGAAAAAAACACCAUACUCUCAGUGGUAGAUUAUGACAGUUUAAUCUAUAGCCAAGUGUAAAAUUAAUAAAGCAGGGAUGGAAAGGUGAUUCAGGAUUGCCACACCUCAUAGUCCUAUCCAGGUGACCUGGGAAAAUUAAUGAAAACUUUUGACUCCAAAAGUUUCUAUAGCACAGGAGAAGAAUGAAGUUAAAGAUAGUAAUAGCUCAGGAAACCUGGUGAUAGAUUUUUGAUGCCUCAACUUAAGACAAGGAAAGAUUAGGCUAAUAGUAUGAAAUUGCUAAUAUUUAAAAGGGUUUUUAGUAAAAAAUGACAAUUUUACAUAAUUUAAUCCAUAGAUAGCUAAUAUUCUAGAAGAACACCUAUUAGUUUGGAUAAAUAUACCAGGCAUGUCAAUUUUAUAUAUACAUGUGUGUGUGUAUGUGUGUGUGUGUGUGUGUGUGUAUAUAUAUAUGAAUUUAAUGGAAUAGUUUUCUUUCAACUGAGUCUUACAUUGGCUUCCCAGGCUUACAUUAUUAUAUUUCACUUUCUGAAUGGAUAAUAUAUUAACAUACUUUUGAAAAUUAAUAAAUACAAAACGGUGUAACGGUAACAUCUCCCUUUCUAAUAUUCCUCAGCCCACCUAUCCUUGACACCCAGGAAUAGUUUGUUACACACAUUUUUUGGUGUUUACUAAGAGCAAUAAAAUGUAAAAUAUAAUCUUAUUUCCCACCACCGCCUUUUUUCACAAAGGAAAUAUAAAAUACAAAUGUUGUGCACUUUGUCUUUUUUUUCCCUUCACAAAAUAUUUCGGAGAUAUUUAUAACUUAAUACAUAGAGUGUUUCCUGAUUCUUUUCCGCAGUUACAGAGUGUUCCGUUUUAUGGACAUGCUAUAGUUUAUUCAACUUGUCCCCUAUUAAUGGACAUUCAAGUUGUUUUCAAUAUUCUCUUGUUAAAAAGAAUGCAGCAAUCCAUCAUUAUAUGCAUGUAUCCUUUCAUCUGUGUGCAAAUACGAUAAAGCUCCAUUAAUUGGGAUCUAGUUUUCAUAACAGAAAUGACAUGAAAUCAGAAAAAAAAAAUAACAGAGUGGGGAAAAGGAAAACAAAGGGAAUAACGAGAGUAAAGAAAGAGAGGAAGGAGAGAAGGAAGGCAGAUAGGCAGGCAGGCUGGAAAGAAUACUAGGUAAGCAAAGAGAAAGAAGGAAUGAGAAAAAGAAAAAGGAGAGAAGGAAAGAAUUAGGAAAGAAAGCUCUUGUCUUCUUGAGGAUAUUACGAGGGAAGUGAUUAAACUUUAGUGCAGGAGGUUGUAAGGGCUUAAUGGAAGGGCACAUGGGAAACAUCUUGGAGCUCGACAAUGCUGGGAGAGCAUAACAAGGAAGUGACUCUUCCUGUUCAAACAAUCCUACCCACUCCAGCAGGACAGAAGAAAUAUAUUCCACGGCCAAACAUGAAGCACAGAGAGGCCCAGGACAUGGCCGUUCCAGAUUACGUAGCAAGCCAGUCAUCCAGGCGGAGGCCACAUGUUUUGAAAGAGAACCAGUUACAUGCAAAGACCUGGCUCUUACGGCAAAUGUUAAUCAUAUUAGCCCAAACUGUGCAUAAUCCAUAAAUAGCGACGAGGCUUGAACAAUAAGAAGCUCACAAGAGCAGUACAAACAGAAAGGAACAAAAAAAGAAACUGAAUAAGGAAAGAAGAACCUAGACCAGACCAGAAUACUGUGCCUUUCCCGUCAGCCACAGUGACUGCCGGUUCAAACUGGACCCCUCCUGAGGAAAAUGAAAGGUUGAAAUCAGUGUUCAUGACUUACUUUACAGAAGUGCAUUUAAGUUCAUUGCACAGUAAAAUCUGUGUUAUUCCCACUCCAGUGAAUUCCUUUGUCCUCUUAAUAAAGUGAGCGUUAAAAAUAAAAAUAAAAUAAAAAUAUCUCUAGGUAUGUUAAAGACAAUAAUUUAGCCUGCAGUGAUUUUUUUUUUUUUUUUCAGAGUGGGCAAAUCCAAGAAAAUAGGACCCAUUUGAGAGCCCUGUUUGAACAAGGGUAAUAUCUGAAUCAGUAUGUUAUUUUAUUAGCCUCAUCAGUGUUUUCCAAAAAUUCCUAUAAUGGCAUAAAGUCUUAAAAAGCUUAGUUCAUGCCAAAAAUUGCUUACAUGCUUAAAUAAAAAUCAUGCGGGAUAUAAGAAGGGGUUUGAAUUAUAUGAAGAGAUACUAAAUUAUUGAUUUUUAAAAUUUCAUCUAGAACUCAGUCCAUCUAAGGGGUGUGUGUGUGUAUGUGUGUGUGUAACUAUAUGUGUACAAUAUCAGAAGGAAUAUACAUUUCAGAAGAGAAGAUAGAGGGGUGUCAAGAGCACCACAGACAUAUUACAUAUGGCUUCUGAUGUUUGUUUGGUUUUUUUACUGUUAAUUUUACUAUGUGCGCUGGAGUUAAACAUGCAUUUUUAGGCCAUAUAACGAUCCAGAUAAUGUAAAUAACAUAGAUUUAAAUUUCAGCAUUUUCUAGUUACCCUAGUUACAUGUUUGCCAAAUUAUUAAAUCGGUUCUGUCCAAAAAUUCAAAAUAUAACAGUAAUAAUACGAGCUAGUUUACAGCUUUUUUUCUUUACUAUGGUGGUUGUAGAUAAUCCUGCAACUAGCAUAAAUUCUAUUGUUAUUAUCCAAAAAAUCAACUUUGUGUGAAAAAUAAGCUGAAGUACAUACCUGAUUUUACUUCAAAAAAUAACAUAUAAAACACAAAAAUAAUUUAUGUCUGUUAAUCUGUCAAGUGUGUGUGUGUGCGCGCGUAUAAAAUUUGAUAUCAGAGCAGCACCUUCAAAGGUGGAGAUUACACCAGUGACAAUGUGUCUGAGCUUCAGUCUCUCUUGAUUUCUUGAUUUGCUCUUGACAUUAACAGCACCAACUUCUGCUUGGUUCUGAUGGAUGAGAGGAUGAGACUAGAAUUUUGUGGUCUCCAUCUCCAUGGUGAUGCCAAGUCGAGUUCUUGGCACACUGCAUGCACUUAAAUAACACUUAUUAGAUGAAUGGAUGACUUCUAGCAAGAAAGGUCAAAAGCAUAAUCUUCAAAAAAUAGGCUGCCCUAGAGUUCUAAGCAGCCCCACAAAUUCUCCAUACUACUCAUUGAAUGGCUAAGAGGUGCUACCCUAUUUGACUUAAGUAGCUAAAGAGCUUAUGGCAAUCGUUUAUAAACCCUCUCCUUAAGUAUCUUCUAAAGCCCAUGAAAAUUAACUCCAAAGAAUCAUCCACAAAUCCUUUGCAUAUAGUGAGGUUUUCUUAUAUGACAACUUUCCUGAAAUAGAAAGACCAGUGUCUGGAGUACGGCCAUUUUUUUGUUUGUUUGUUUUUUAUAUGUGAAAACUAAUUAGCAUGGCAACUGACUUGAUCUGGACUAGGUACUUUAAAAGAACUAUAAUCAAGAAUAGCAGGACUAAGAUUUUUUAACUCAUAAAAUGUACACUUUAUUUUCACCAGAUCUAUUUGAAUGUUAGAGGAUGAGCAUUUUAAUCAUGUCUACAGCAUGUGGAGGAUUACAUUAGGUGAUAGAGGCAGCAGAAUAUCAUUGUAUUUUAUGGCAUCCAAAGUGAUUAUACAUUGAUGUAUGGAUAUAUAAAUAAACAUAAACUCCAGAUAAAUUAAAAACACACACACAAAAAACACAGAAAACAUUUUUUACUAGAUCAUGAACUCCUUAAUUUCUCGUAUCCUUAGUUCCUCCUAUGAUGUCAGGCUUUUCAUGGGGAUACAGUAAAUGUUGGUUGACUCAAAUAAGCCAGACGGUAGAAAAGAAGAAAAUGAAGAAAGAAAACAAAUGGGAAGGACAGAAAUGAAAAAAAUAAAAGAGAGGAAGAGCCCUUCAUAGAUGGAGCAUCCUACAGAAAAUUCUAUAUAGCCCUAAGCUCAGUGCCUGGCAAAACCAUUGUUAUUUCUUUUUCUACAGUUUUAUCACAUAUUCUUGUACAGUCUCAUUAUUAAGGGCAUGAUUGGGAUCCAUUAUAAUAUCUAGUUUUGAAAAAUCAUUGCAUUAAAUAACACACCACACAUGCUUUUUCUUCUUAAAAGGAAACCAUUUAGAGCCACUUAGUGUUUACUGAGUGAGCAUGCACAGCACUUAGAGAGGACAAGUGGGCCCAUAACUCAGGACUUCAGUAGUUACCGCCCUCAGCUGAAUAUCUCUAGUCAGCUUGGUGGCUUUGACCUUCAUAGAUGUACAAACUGCUUUCAUUUUUGGUCUUGUAAUUUAUUAUUUGGAUUGAUGAAGGAGCUCUGGUUAAAAUGCAAGAAGUAUAUGGAACACUGCUUUCGAGAAUAAAAUUGGUGCUCAUCUUACACAGAACAUUAAAAUGACCCUAGUAUUUCAUAGGGAAUUGCAAGAGGGAAACCUACAUAUGUACGUAUUUGAGUCUUCAUGUCAGCAAAAUAUAACAAGUGGAGAAAGCUCACAAUGUGAGUUUCUUUAUCUCAUCCUUUAGAAACAACUCAAGAAAAUUAUCGAAUUUAGCCACAUAACAUGCAUUGCAAUCUGAUAUCUUUGUGGGUUCAAAUUAUUGUUGUAUUUUCAAAUAUUUUAUAAGUUGCUUACAAACUUAACUUUGAAGUAACUGAAUAGAGCACAACAUUUGUUAAAUGGAAAGCAAUAAAAAUUUAUAUUAUAUUAUUUUUCAACAGGUAAUACUGUCAAAAUGAUUAGUAUUUUUAAUUUCCAAGGAAGUUACUAGAAAUACAUUAUUUCAAUGAAAGGGGCUAAUAUAUCAUAAAAGUUUGGGAAACCCAUGUCUAGUACAAUAAAAUACUUAAAGCAAGGUAAUUAUGUGUAGGUUAUUCAGGUUAUAAGUGAAAGAAAGAGCUCUAUGAAAUUCUAUCUUAAGGUUCCUGCCCUAUGACCUGAGCAGGUGAUGUAUGAGUCAUUUGGUACCUUCAUUGGCUAAUCAUAUAUCUUAACUCAAUGCAUUCCUCAAAACUCACUGUUUUGCAUGACAUAGAAACAAAAUUUAAAGAUUUUCCCCAAAUCUUAAAAACAGAGUACUGGAGCCAUGGCUCAUAUUUUGCCCUCUGACUUCAAAGUUUAUUCUUUCAAAUAUGUCACAUUAUAUUUAACUGACCUUUCUAUUAAGGAGUAUUUUUAUCUGCAUUUCUGUACCUCUUAAUAGCCCUCCACUUCAAAAAAGGGCCACAGUUAUUUAUUCAAAUUCUUAAUAACUAAAAAUAAUAGCUUUUCUGUAAUACAGCUCUUAUGACUCCAAGCUGCCUGAAUAGCAAAGUUAUGAGUUCACUAAUAAAUAGCUAACACAAAAUAGAAACUCAAUCUGCUAGCAAAUCCUUCCUUUAAAAAUAUUCCUCUGUAAGUGAAUACAUUCUCUUUUACUAUUAUUUCUUGGGAUUAAAUAUCUCCAAGUUACCUAUGUCAUGUUUGUCAAUUUUUCUCUGUGAUAGUAUGAAUUUCUCCAUUAAUAUGCCAUAGAAUGUUUCUAGGAAGGAAGAUGAUCCAGUUUUUAUUCUGUAUUCAUUUAUUUAUUUUUUUACUCAGUCAAUGGCUACUUUCUUCACCUUUGGAGAAAACAUUUUUCAUGACAUUCCUUUAGAGCAUUUAAAAGGAGUUUGAUAUUUAAGAGGUAUAAUAAAAACAGGCAGUCUAAACCUUUUAGAGGUCUCCGAGAAAGUUCUCUUAUUUUGUAGAACUUCUGUUCCUUCAUAUUCGCAGCUGACUGUAGUCUAAUCUGAGAGUGAAAUUAACUUCUUGAUAUCCAUCAGCAACAAAGCUGGCAAUUUGUGCAAAGGUGAUCUAAAUAGCCCAUUUAAUGUCUCACCUGUGAAAAUAAAAAUCUAUGUACUUCGAGGAAAAGGACUUGUUGAGGUAGGUCAGUUGCCUCCUUUUACAUGGCAGACUAAAUCCCAGAGAGUUUAACUGACUCGAGUCUGAUCUCAAAGAUUGUUAUGGUCAGCACCACGUUUAAAACCCCGCUUCAGAAUCUGAAAACAGAUUCUUUCUACCAUGUGUCUGCCAGAAUAUUAGCACAGAAAGUUCAAGAAGGCAGUGUUUUAAGGGGAAAGGGUGCUUACUGACUAUGUCCUUAAGAGCUUUGAUAUGUGCUGACAUGACCAAUUUAAAUAUAAUAGAAGCAGGUCUAGGUAUUAGAUUUAAUUACUAUUCUAAGUACUUUGGACUUAGAUCUGGGAGAAUACUGCCCAGACAAGGAAGUAUUAGAAUAUGCAAAUAACGAUUUUCUAGAAACAGAUCAACUAAAUUUAAAAAUCCAAAUUCCAUAUUUACUGUGCAAUUUUAAACAAGAUACUUAUUUUACUUAUCUAUAAAAUGGAGAUGAGAAUAAUAUCAAUAGACAUGGUGAGGAUUAAAUAAGGUACUGUGUAAAUGGUCCAGCACAAUGCCUGGCCCACAGCAGAUGCUGGCUUUGUCUUAUUUUAGCUUAUGCCUCCCUUACGGCAUCUCUGCAUCUUUUUCUAUACAGUCAAACCAGUAUAGAUAAAGGGGAAGUUGCUCACAAAAGAAGGCAGGCUGAGUAGUCCCCCAGCUUAACAGAAGAGAUACAACUAAAAUAAACUAAAGAAGUCCUGCCUUUACUUUUAAGCUCAUAUCCCAAACCCCAUAGAAAUGCACUGAAUGAGGCAAGGGAAGAGCUUUGUGGUUGUGUGACAUGGAAUUGGCAUGGUGCUGGAAUGCUGUGAAAUGGGAAACGUGAAUCCUUUCCUUAACUUAUGUCAUUUUGUCCCAAACUGUACUUCCUAGUUUAGCAUCUUCAUCUUUGGUGAUCUGAUCUCUGGCUGGAUCCUUAGCUUCAACAUCUACCACCUAUAUCCCUUAGCUUCUAUCGCUCAAGCCACGCUGAAGUAUUUGUCAUUACUUAAAUACCUGGUCCUGUUUUAUAUCUCUUAGAUACAUGCUACAAUGCUGUCUCAAUGGUCUGUAACUAGCAAUCCUACUUGUUCUUCAAAAUUCAGUCUAAAUAUUGUUUCCUCUAGGGUAUCUUCCCUGAAUCUGAUUUUUAUACUCUUAUGCCCCCCUAGUAUCCUAUUCAUGCUGCCAUUAUAGCACUAAUAAAAUUGUAAUCAUUGAUUUGCAUAUUUAUUACUUACUAUAAGUCUCUCAAGGUUCCAGAUCUUGUCUCAUUCAAGUUGGCAUCCCUAGCACGUAGCACAAUACCUGGCCCACAGUUGGCACAAGAUACAUGAUGAAUGUGUGAAUAAAUUAAUUAAAUGUCAAAGGAAAGAAGCUAAUCCAUGAUGACCUACAUUGGUUGUGACUUUUGGCAAAUCAUAAACUCUGUCCAAUCAUUCAAAGGUAAUCAUUUGGAAAUAAUUGCUAAUCAGUGCCAGGGGAGGAUAUGUUCCAUGGGAAGGCUCUCUUGUGUUUGAUGAGUUAAAACAGUAAGGACCUUGCAUUCUGAGGGUGAUAUAUUAACCAGAGUGAUAUGUUAGCCAGAUACCAAAUAAGGCCAUCCAUUUGACUUAUGCAGUACAUCUGAUUCUUCCUGCUAUUGCUCACAGAACCCAGGUUAGGGCUUCUGCAUCUUUGUGAAUGAUCAUUUUGUCUUGCAACAGACACCUCAGUCUGUUACCUCAGUCACUACAUUUCUAGUUUGCAAAAUUCUUGGCAGCCUAGUUUAUAAACCUAAGAAGUAGUAAACCAACUUAGCCCACAAAAAUAUUUUAAGAUGCUUAAAAUACAAGCUUUUCUUUGAAAUACAGUGAAGACACCAGAUUAUUAUGAAUGUUCAAAUGGCUGUUUUUUCUAGUUAGAUUGAUAUGAACAGAAAAAGAAACAGGAAAUUAAUACCGAAGACUUGCAGGACAAUAGAAAAGUGUUUAACAUGAUCUCAAAUAGGGUAAUUUGAUCUUUCCUAUUAUUAUCUUGUAUGUACCUACAAAUCAGAACAGGAAAAGGAAUUCUUGGGAAAAAAAUUAACUAAGAUAAAAUAAGAUUGCAUUCAUCACUGAAGUUCAACUAUAAAGAGGUUAAAGCUGUCCUGUAAACUCCAGAUAAAAGGCUCAUAACUCAUUUCCACUGGAGGGUGAUAAGACAAGCUGUUCUUUCCAUGAGUGGAUGAAACGAGUGUAGUCUUGUAAGAAGAAAACUAAAGAUGAGUAAAACAAACUCCUACUACUGGAAGAUGAACUAUACAGUUUAAAUGAUGUGACAUUACUGUAUUGUUUGACCUUUUCUGAUAAAUAGGUAGAAUUAUUUCUUCUCAAAUCUUCAUUGUGUAAAUACACAAUUUCUUUCACAUUUUAUAAUUUUUAAAUUCAUUAAUUAUUUACAUAGAGUUUCUUUUAUUUUUAUGUAUUUCUGUGUGUGCAUAUUAUGGGUGUUUAUUAACUAUUUUCUUUUCCAUCCAAUUAAUACAGCUUAUAUGUGUUUUGCCUCUGCAGCUUCUGAAUGCCUAUAAAUUUAUUACACAUUCCUUCCGUUGUUGCAAUAAUGAUAGAAUAGGUGAGAUUUUCAUGUAUAGAUUAUUUAAAGCUUUUAGGUUCAAGCAAUGCCAAAAACCAGAGAGAAAUACCAAACAAAACUCAAUAUGCUACUAUAAGUCUCCGAAAGAAUAUCAUAUCUGGACGUUAAAAAAAAUAAGAAUAAAAAAAUUCAUUCACCAAUUAUGUUGGUUUUCUGAAUAUAUAAUUGUUAAACUCUAUCAUAGCUUGGUUUACUAAGCCAAAAACAAAUUAACAGCCUACAUAAAACUUCCUAAACAAGAAUAAAUGUCACAGUCUGCAAUAUGAAUAGGCUUCCUUUAAGAUCUAUCAUAUUUUGACUUAAGGCUUUUUCAAAUAUUUGACAGAGUUUUUACUAUACUGCUUUUAUCCCUAAAAGCAUUUUGACAAAAGAAUAAACUAAAGCUAGCACACAAGCAAGGGAAUAAUUUACAUACAAAUUGGGCAUCAAAUUAGAGUUUUAGAAAAAUUUUUUGCUGGUAUGUCAAUAUCUCCAAUAUUCAUUGUUUAUAUUAGAAUCGCUAACAUUUCUACAGGUGAAUAGCAAUGGUAUUAACAUUUUUCACUUAUCCAACAAAUGUCUCUUGAGUGUACAGGAAUUAAAGGUUAAGCCACAUCGCCACUUACACAAGCCUCAUUUCCAAGAAGUAUAUAGUCCAGAAUAGAUGAUUAGAGAAGUUUAUAAUAGCUAUUAAAUAGUAUAGCUCAAAAUAUGGAAAUCAGUAAAAUAUGGCCCAGAGGCGGGACAACUGUUUUUGUAAUAUAAUUAAUUUAAUAAUUUAAUUAUAAUUUAUAAUUUAAUCAGGACAGAUCCACCUAAACUCAUUUGUUUAGGUAUUGCCUAAGCUUGCUUUCAUGUUACGUAGAGCAGAAUGAAUACAGUGGAAAGUGUAUACAUAGCAAGCAGGAAAUAUUUACUAUCUGGUCCUUUACAAGAAAGUUCACUCAUCCCUAAUGAUGACAAUAGUAACUACCAUAUGAAGUUCAAACCAAAUGACAAAAUUGUUCAUAGAAGAAUGAUAUUUUUGCUAGGGAGUUAUCAUUUAAGCUGAACUUUCAAUUAUUAGUAAGAAUUUUAAUGAACAGAUUCAUUGAUAAUAGCCAUCCCAGAAGAAACAAAACAAACAAAAAGUCGUAUCAAAGACAUACAAGCAAUGCAUAUUUGAUACAUUUAGAAAAUAUCAUGUUGUAGAGUUUGGUUGGGUGAUAGGCUGGAAGAAGUGAAUUCUAGUGAGAGUCGCAUGUCUGCUAUCUGGCAGAUUCACCCCAGGACAGUCAUACCAGUUGUUUACGGCUAGACUCGGCAGUGAUGGCCUCUUUCCUGAAUUUUUUUUACCAGUUCUUAGAUAUUCUUAAUAUCAUCCCUGAUAAUGCCUAUCAAAACCAAUGAGAGGUAGCCAAGAGAGCAUUUGAAGGACAAUUUAUAGUCUAAAGUAAAUUUAUCAUAAAACAUAAAAGAUAUAGCAUUGAUCUCAAGAAGCUAGAAAAAGAACAAUAACAAAACCUGAAGUACUCUCACAUGUUGUUUAUGGGAAAGUGAAUCAGUAGAGCUGUGUCAAUGAUAGUGGUAGGGUGGAGAUGCAUUUAACCUGAUCUAUAAAAAUUCAAGUGUCCUUUCGACUCUGCAAUUCUACUCCUAAAAUUUGAUUCAUGGACAUGCCCCUAUACAUGUACCAAAAGAUAGCAACUGGUGUGUUCACUGCAGCAUGAUUGCAUGAUCAACAUUGGAAACAAUCUUAGUAUUUAUGAAGUUUAAUGUUUAACAGUAUAUCCUGACUCUAGAAUACCAUCUAGUUGAUAAAACAAUUAUGUAGAUCCACGAGCUCUCUCUCACACACACAAAUGCCCAUAAUAUGAUUAAAAAAAACAAGUUACUGAACAAUAUCCAUAGCCUUACAAUUUUCUUGGAAAUUAUAUUUUUGUAUGUAGCUAAAUGUGUAUAUACAUGUGCAUAAAUAUAUGUAUGUGUGUACAUGAAUGCAUGUGUGUAUGUGUGUAUACAUGAGAAGGGGAGGAAAAAAUAUAAUGAGGAUGAGGUUUUGAAGUAUAUACAAAACUGUUAAAAGUGGUUGAACUUUUGCAAGAGGAAUCUUACAUUUUACUUUAUAUAUUUACGGUUUUUCUCAACCAGAAUAUUAUUCUGUAGUUAAAUGAAAUAAAUGAAGAAACAAAUAAAACUACGACAAAUAUCUCUGAAUGUAUACAUUUCCUACUAUUUCAGAUAUGAAGUUAUUAGAUGAAAGCUUAUAAACAUUUUAACGUUAUUGAUAAAUAAUGCCAGACUGUUUUUCAAUGGUGCCAAUAGUGUCUAAUUUAUCUGUUUUCUUUUUCAAGUUAAAUGUUAGCAAGGACUAUGUUGAGACCAGAGAUUGGCAUGCUCCUAGGCAUAAAAGCUUCAGACUAUAAACUUUGGAGCUCUACGUUUAUGGCCACAGUCAUUUAGGAUGUUUCCCAAUCCUGGGUUCCCCAAAGCUAAAUCCAAAUGGAGGAUCCAGUGAUUUUUGGCAUAUUUCUUACUGAUCUCAUGCCAGCUACUGGCAUCACGUUACUGAGCAAAGGCACAUGACAUUUUUAGGUACUUAAGGAAAGAGCAACUCUAAUUCAGAAAAGCACGACACAAGACAACACUCAUGUUCGAUACAAGAAGUUAGGCUUGCUUCACUUCAUAUAACCCAAAUUGGGACACAACUUGAAUACUUAAAUCAAAGUCAAGGCCACUUGAGAAACCAGCUCCUGGCUUCAACCCCCCAGUAGGUUUUGUGCACACCAUAUCUGGUUCCCUCCAUCCCUGUGCACCUGAGAUAAAAACAGGAUGUAACGCUGAAACCCAGGGUACCUGUAACUAAACCAGGGUCAAAGCCAUGGUCUCUUAACCUUUAAGCAACAGCUUUAUCCCUCCCUUAGAUAUCUUUAUAAACCUCAGCCUCUAUCACAGUGAUGGAAAGCAUGAAUUCUGGAGCCACACCGACUCUAUAUGCCUGCUGCCUUCCAGCAGUGAUCUUUAAGUAAGUCAGACGCUCUUUUCCUUCCUGACUGUCUGAAGAUACGCCGCCAUCAUGAACGACACCGUAACUAUCCACACUAGAAAGUUCAUGACCAACCGACUACUUCAGAGGAAACAAAUGGUCAUUGAUGUCCUUCACCCCAGGAAGGCAACGGUGCCUAAGACAGAAAUUCGGGAAAAACUAGCCAAAAUGUACAAGACCACACUGGAUGUCAUCUUUGUAUUUGGAUUCAGAACUCAUUUUGGUGGUGGCAAGACAACUGGCUUUGGCAUGAUUUAUGACUCCCUGGAUUAUGCAAAUGAAAAUGAACCCAAACAUAGACUUGCAAGACUGCCUGAUAGAAAAAAACCAUCAAGAAAAAACGAAAAGAACACAAAACAGAAUGAAAGAAAGUCAGGGUCACUGCAAAGGCAAUGGUGUGUGCUGGCAAAAAUUAG